UACGUAGGGGGGCAAGCGUUGUCCGGAAUUAUUGGGCGUAAAGGGCUCGUAGGCGGUUCGUCACGUCGGGAGUGAAAACUCGGGGCUUAACCCCGAGCCUGCUUCCGAUACGGGCAGACUAGAGGUAGGCAGGGGAGAGCGGAACUCCUGGUGUAGCGGUGGAAUGCGCAGAUAUCAGGAAGAACACCGGUGGCGAAGGCGGCUCUCUGGGCCUUACCUGACGCUGAGGAGCGACAGCGUGGGGAUCAAACAGG
rnacentral:rRNA from 1 species